CCCGGGCGCACCUCCCCAGGUAGGAGCAGCUGUGGCGGCGCGGUAGGAGCCCCACAGCGUCAGGGCGGGGAGGGCGCUUGGAGAUCCCCCGGGUCGGCCCCCUCCGCACCCCGAUCGACUGAGGCCCGGAGAGUUCAGGAACCGGCUCGGGAGACCUCAGCGCCCGAACUCGGAGUUUUCGGACUUUUCAGGCCUCUGCCAAGGGCUUGGACUCGCAGGUGGUCUCUCUGGGCUCCUGCACAGCAGGCUUUUCCGUGGAGGCUGGAAGGGUCUGGAGCUGACUCCAAGACAUGGUCUUUCUCUCCAUAGAUGGUGGAAAGCUGCACUUGAAGUCCAACUCUGUCCUGGGGGAAUAAUUAUGUUCCCUGUCUUGGGAGCCUUUCUUCAGGGAGCUUGAUGGUUCCAACCCACCCAGGAGCCUGGGACAUCUGUGCCCCUGGGCAAUCCCCUGCAGUUUCCUGAUUCCAAGAUGAGGGGGUAGAAUCCGAAGAUCUCCAAGGCCUUGAUGAGUGCUACCAGUCUGCAAAUUCCCAAGCCAAGUUCUUCAAUGAAUCAAAUUUCCUCCAGUAGCCAUUUCUACCAAAGGAGCAACUGUUUUUCCUUCCCACUGACAUGGCUAUGUAUUCGAACUGGAUAUAGGUGAGAGGCAUUUUUGUCCUAGCUUCUCGGGCCCCUCCAAGGAGCUCCAAGAGGCUUAAGGAUCCCAGCCAUGUUGGGAUAAAAAUACCCAAUCAAUCAAUAAACAUUUUAUUUAAAAAUGAUUUAUUUAAAAAAUCACACAAUUUGAGAGCAAAUACAGAAGAUAUGAAUUAGCAAAACGAACAAAAUUAAAAUCUCAUACAAUCGCAGGACACUGGGACCUGAAGUCUUGGAGAGGAUGUAAUCACUAAGUCAUCCCAAGGAAGAGUGGGAUGCCUACAAGAGAGGGAUGCCUACAAGAGAGGGAUGCCUAAAUUGGUUACCCCUAAGCCCACCGACUUUUAAGGCAUGUGUAAGUGAGUGGGAACCUGCAAAAAGACUGGAAGGAGCAGCCAGAGAGGUAGGAAGAAAACCAGGAGUGCCUGUUGUCACGGAAGCUGAGGGCAAGGAGGACAGUGGUUGGGAGAAUCUGAUGCAGCAGCUCCAAGGACCAUGGCCCCAGGAACUAGGCACAAGUGACAGGAGACACUUGCUAUGUCUAAACCCAGUGCACCCUCAGCCCGGCCUCGCCUUUUCAAGGACGGCUAGCACAGGCCAUCAUCCUGGCCCACGAUGAAGGUGAGCAUCAAACUCCAAUUUCUGAAGAGGAAACUGAAGACCAGAGAGGGGAGGUAAACAUCCCAAAGUCACCAGCAAGUCAGUGGGAGACACAACUUUAACCCUAGUUUUGACUGGCAGUCUGUGGGCAUCGAGGCCACCAUUCCAUGUACCUAAUGUGUGUCUGGCAGUGUUCCAGGCCUCACCUGCAUCAUUUCUAAUCCUCUCAACCAGAGGAUCAGAGAGGUGGCGUUUUUACCCCUAGUACACAGAGGAGGCGCUUGGGGUUCAGAGGCACGUGUGGAACUAGACCGACGCCACUCACCCCAGCAGGUGGCCAAGCGGGAUGGGAGCGCGGGUCUCCCCAUCCCCAGCGGUGACGGGCGGCGGCUCUUUCCUGAAGAAUGGGGCGGCGUCCGCAACGGGAACCGCUGGAGGCGCUCCCCGGGACCCUGGCCCGCCCUCGCCCCCGCGCAUGCCUGGCCGCUGAGGCGUGAGAGCCGCCGCCCGGGGCCUCCCCCCGCGCGCCUUGCACAACCGGCCCAGGUAAGUGCUGCGUCUCUGGGCAAUUAUCGCCCUCCCGCCGCCGGGGCUGGCCGCGCACAGGGCCCACGGCCAAGGCACUCGCAGCCACCCAAGGAGAGCUGCACGGUCUACGACGGCCGCCAGCGCGCGCGAUUUCACAAGGCCCGGGAGCGGGGACGGGGCGGGGCGGCGGGGGCGGUGACGUCACGCGCAGCCACGCCCCGCGGUUGCCCCGCCCCCGCGCUGGGCCGGGCCUGGGGAGGAAGCGAUGCGAGGCCACCUGUCCACCUGCGCCGCUUCGUCCUUCCUCCUCCUCCUCCCUGUCAGCUGUUUUUCUUUCUUCCCAUCUCCCAUCUCUUCCUUUUUAUCCCUCUCAUUCCUCCCUCUUUCCGUCCGUUUCCUUCUCCCUUCCCCAUCUCCUUCCUUUUAAUUUUCCUUUUCUCCUCCCUCCCGCCUUCCUUCUCUCUGCUUCCUUUCUCUUCCUCCCUCCCUCCUUCUCUUCCGCCUGCUUCCUUUCUUUCUCCUCUCUCUCCUUUCUUCCUUUCCUCCUCUCCUUUUUCUUUUUCUUUUAUUUUCUUUCUUU
rnacentral:lncRNA from 10 species